ACUUGUUCUUUAAAUGUGGACUAGUAUGAAUGGCACCACGAGGGUUAUACUGUCUCCUUUUUCUAAUCAGUGAAACUAAUCUCCCCGUGAAGAAGCGGGAAUACAUCUAUAAGACGAGAAGACCCUAUGGAGCUUUAAACAACACAGCAAUUACCUACUGAACUAUAAAUUUCCGAAUACCUUAACCUUUUUAAGUAAUCUGACUGCAAGUUUUUGGUUGGGGUGACCACGGAGCAUAACACAACCUCCAUGCUGAAAGAAUUUUUUCUAAGCUAAGAACAACCUGUCUAAGCAUCAAUAUAUUGACAUCCAUUGACCCAAUACAUUUGACCAACGAACCAAGUUACCCUAGGGAUAACAGCGCAAUCCACUUCAAGAGCUCCUAUCGACAAGUGGGUUUACG
rnacentral:rRNA from 1 species